rnacentral:rRNA from 1 species
CCUACGGGAGGCUGCAGUGGGGAAUAUUGGACAAUGGGCGAAAGCCUGAUCCAGCCAUACCGCGUGUGUGAAGAAGGCCUUCGGGUUGUAAAGCACUUUCAGUGGGGAAGAAAGCCUUGGGGCUAAUACCCUCGAGGAAGGACAUCACCCACAGAAGAAGCACCGGCUAACUCCGUGCCAGCAGCCGCGGUAAUACGGAGGGUGCGAGCGUUAAUCGGAAUUACUGGGCGUAAAGCGCGCGUAGGCGGUCUGAUAAGCCGGUUGUGAAAGCCCCGGGCUCAACCUGGGAACGGCAUCCGGAACUGUCAGGCUAGAGUGCAGGAGAGGAAGGUAGAAUUCCCGGUGUAGCGGUGAAAUGCGUAGAGAUCGGGAGGAAUACCAGUGGCGAAGGCGGCCUUCUGGACUGACACUGACUCUGAGGUGCGAAAGCGUGGGUAGCAAACAGGAUUAGAUACCCCAGUAGUC